rnacentral:rRNA from 1 species
AGAGCGGGAGCCCGGAGAUGGGCACUGAGACAAGGGCCCAGGCCCUACGGGGCGCAGCAGUCGCGAAAACUCCGCAAUGCGCGAAAGCGUGACGGGGCUACCCCGAGUGCCGUCCGCUGAGGAUGGCUUUUCCCCGGUGUAAUGAGCCGGGGGAAUAAGGAGAGGGCAAGACUGGUGUCAGCCGCCGCGGUAAUACCAGCUCUCCGAGUGGUAGGGAUGAUUAUUGGGCUUAAAGCGUCCGUAGCCGGCUUAGCAAGUCUCCUGUUAAAUUCAGCGACCUAAUCGUUGAGCCGCGGGAGACACUACUAGGCUAGGAGGCGGGAGAGGCCGACGGUAUUCUCGGGGUAGGGGUGAAAUCCUAUAAUCCCGGGAGGACCACCAGUGGCGAAGGCUGUCGGCU